GAUGAACGCUGGCGGCGUGCCUAAUACAUGCAAGUCGAGCGAACAGACGAGGAGCUUGCUCCUCUGACGUUAGCGGCGGACGGGUGAGUAACACGUGGAUAACCUACCUAUAAGACUGGGAUAACUUCGGGAAACCGGAGCUAAUACCGGAUAAUAUAUUGAACCGCAUGGUUCAAUAGUUAAAGACGGUUUUGCUGUCACUUAUAGAUGGAUCCGCGCCGCAUUAGCUAGUUGGUAAGGUAACGGCUUACCAAGGCAACGAUGCGUAGCCGACCUGAGAGGAUGAUCGGCCACACUGGAACUGAGACACGGUCCAGACUCCUACGGGAGGCAGCAGUAGGGAAUAUUCCGCAAUGGGCGAAAGCCUGACGGAGCAACGCCGCGUGAGUGAUGAAGGUCUUCGGAUCGUAAAACUCUGUUAUUAGGGAAGAACAAAUGUGUAAGUAACUAUGCACGUCUUGACGGUACCUAAUGAGAAAGCCACGGCUAACUACGUG
rnacentral:rRNA from 1 species